rnacentral:lncRNA from 1 species
UAAAAUCAUACUUAAUUUAAUCUAUUACUAGUCUAAACUUUCAAAUUAAAUUAAAAUCUAAUCUCAAUUCUCAAAAUAUUUUUGCUUUAUUUUGGAAUUUAAUAUUUAAAAAUAUUUAAAUAAAUUUUCAAGAUAGAGUUGUUUUACUAUUAUUGAAAUUCAUAAUAAGUGUUAAAGUAAUCAAUAUAUAAUAAUACUUGGUGGGACAAGUUUUGGAAUUUGUCGAUUGAAGCGUCCAUUUUAAUCAAUCAUUGCACUAGACAUGAAACUUGUCUUAUUUGUUGGCAUGUUUGACCAAAAAUAUUUUGAUGAUUUGUUAGUCUCUUUUUGAGGAUUUUAUACAGCUAAUCUCGUGUUUAUCAUUAAAGAAGAGAUUAAAUCAAGUAAGAUUACUUUUCAAGGAUUCUUAUGUGUGUUGAAACCGUAAAACAAAAUCUAAUAUAAACUUAAAACUGUAAACCAAGAUCUAUCAUGUCAAAUCAUCAAUAAUAAAUCAAGAACAAAACUAAAUGCGAAAGCGUAACUUAAUUAAUUGAUUUCCUGAAAUCUAUAGAUCUUAGGGUUUUAAUCUUCCAAAUUAGCACACAAGUAAUCUAGAGAAGUUGGCUCUGUCUUUUCUAAAGAUGAGAUAUUAGAAAAGUUACCUUGUUGUGUAAUUUGAGGACCAUAACCCUAAUAUAUAUAACUUUGGCACAUUAGCUCUCAUUCCUAAUUAGCCCAUCAUUAUUUAGAAAUUGAUUAGAACUUCAUUACUAGAGUAUCUACACAUAUUUGACCUAUACUUUAUUUAAUAAUUAAAGCCCAAAAAACCAUAACCAAAUUAGAUCACUUUUAAUUUGGGCUAACCUAUUAUAAUAGUAAAUAAUAACAUGUAAUUACCCUUAUUAUAUAUGUGAUGUUCAUAUUUUCCAAUAAUCUCCCACUUGAACCACAUAUAUAUACUAAUUACUCUAUAAUUACAUGUCAUUAUAUAACCUUAUGAGCUCAAAAUUUUACUUUCAUAUCGUAACUAAAUCCAUCAAUGAUCACGUAUAAUGACAUAGAUCAAGUAUGGAUGUGUAGUAUGGGAAUUACAUGCAAUAUGAUCUAAACAUGUCUAUUUCCAACUGGUCUUCCUCAAACCUUAGUGAGAUCAAACUUUACCAAAACCAGAGUAUGUAUAAACCAAAUAAACUUUAUUUCAGUAAAAAAUAAACUUAAUAUCUGUAAACUGAAAUAACUAAAAAUAUGUCUAUAACAUAAAACAUUUAAAAGUACAAACUCCCACUAAAACUAAAUAUCCUUAAAUGAUAUUACACCCAUAUGAGCAAUGUGCACGUGAAAAACCUUAGGUAUAGUCCCUUAGUAAGCGGAUCUGCAAUCAUGGAGUUUGUCUUAAUAUGCUUUAUAGGCACCUAAACACUCUAAACUUUUACUGUAACAACCAGAAACUUAAAGUCUAUGUGUUUUAACUUUGAUGUGCUCCUGUUACUAUUGGAAUAAAAUAUUGCAAUUUGUUUUUCACAAUUUGCACAUUAGUGACAAAAACUUGUAUCCAUAUUUCAUCAAAAUCAGAGUUUGUAUACUUGAUGAUCUCUAACUGAUUAGACCUUCGAUAUGUGAGCAUGUAAUCUUUUGUUCUUUGAAAAUACCUUAUAACUUUCUUGGAUGCUAUCCAAUGGUCCAAACUAGGGUUGCUUAAAAUAUCUGCCUAAUAUCCCAACAUUGUACACAAUAUUCCAAUGUAUACAAACCUGAACAUACAUUAGACUUCCUACUGCUAAAAUGUAAAAAAUCUUAUACAUUUUUGUAAUCUCAAAAUCAUUCUUAGUGCAUUGAUUGAGACUAUACUUAUUAUUGAUAAGCAGUAUGUCAUUAACAUAUAAAACCAAAUAUAGAACCUUACUCCCACUAAACUUAUGGUAUAUACAAUUAUUGACAAAAUUAAUCUCUAAACCGAAUAAGAUAAUUAUUUGGUAAAAUUUGUAAUACUAUUAACAAGAAGUUUGCUUAAGCCCAUAAAUGAAGUUAUUUAAUUUGCAAAUCAUUAACUUUGCAUAAUCGGACACAAAGUUUUCUAAUUGCACCAUAUACAUGUAUGAUCAAUGUUACCAUUGAGAAACUAUUAACUUAAUAUUCAUCUAAUGCAGUUUAAGGUCAAAAUAUUCCACUAAAGCUAUUAUAACUCUUUCUCUAGUGGACCUUUUUAAUGGCAUUUGUACUUGAGGUUAUUGAGUUUUUUUUUGAAACAAUUACCUCAUCUUGAAUAGGGAGUUUUUUAACAUUGUUUUAUUGAGGUUCUGGAUUAACAUCUUGAUUAAUGAUAGGUAUAAGAACCAGAACAUCGUCAAAAGUGAUAGCAAGAAUUAAGUUAGAAUUCAAUUCCUCCUUAAAAGCAAUGUCUCUAACUUUAUUUCUCCCUCUAAACUCAACAUCCUCAAAAAAUGUUAUAGUUCUCGUCUCAAAAAUAUUCCUUAUUGUGGGAUCAUAAAACUCAUAGCCCUUAGAUCACUCAAAAUAACCAAUAAAAUAAUUGUUCACUAUUUUGGAGUCCAAUUUCUUCUCAUGUGGCUUAUAAGGCUUUCCUUAAGUGGACAUCCCUAAAUGUGAAAGUGUUUUGGACUAGGUUUUCGACCUAUCCAAAGCUCAUAAGGUGUUUUUUCAACUGCUUUAAUGGGUACUCUAUUCAGAAUGUAAGUUGUUGUCUUUAGAGGCACUGGCCAAAUGAGCACUUUCACACUUAUCAUGUUUCAACCUUUCUUCCUUUUACACACAAUAAGAAAUGAACUCAUUUAGAGUCCAUUUCUCCUAUUGAUAGAUGUAACCGAUUUUAGAUUGGUUAAACUGUGCAAGAAGCGAUACAAAAACCAUAAGAAAAAGCAAUUCCUUAGAAAGCUCGAUCUUAAGUGCCUUAAGUCUUGAGGCAGCAUGAAACAUCUCCAUAAUGUACUCCCCAUAUUUCCUUGACCCUUAUACUUCAUAGACAUCAAAGAAUUCAAAAAUGAUGUCAUAUCAACCUUAUUUAUUUAGCAAAAUGUUUCUCAAUUUCGUCAAGGAAACACUUGGCUUAAGUAAUCUUUUCAGAUUAUGUGCCCCUAAAGGCUUUUGGAAUAUUGUGUUUCAUGAUCAUUAGACUCAUGCAAUUUGAACAAUCCCACCUCAAAAUCCCUUUUAACAUUAGGGGUGUUUUCCGCAGUGAGAGAUGCAUAUUGGUUUUCCCUUAGUGCAAGGUCUAUGUCCAUACAACCAAACACUAUAAGUAAGUGCCUUUUUUAAUCCUUAAAAUUAGUCCCAUUAAGAAUGGGUAUAGAAUUUAUAUUAGAAAAUAUUGUGGCAGUAGAAGAUGAACUAGCUAAUACAGAACAAAAACAAAUAAAAACAAGCUCACAUCAAUAUUCAUAAGUAAACAAUAAAUUUAAGAUAAUGACUAAUCUCAUCUCAAGAUACCAAACACAACAUUAAUAUCAAGUCUUUGGACAGUAAUAUUAACAGCAAACGGUACUCUUAUUGCAACAAUCAAACAUUAUCAAUAAAUUAUGGCAAACAAUGAAUUAAUCUUUGGACUAACUUAUUGUUCACAUAAAUUACCUUAUAAUUGUCACAUAUUUAUCACCACUGAUGUUGUUAAAAUUCUGUCAAAUAUUAACUUACCUUUGGGUCAAUUAAUAAACGCAUGAAUCACAAAAACAUAUAAUCAUCUUGAUAUUUUAAAUAAACUAAUCUACGCAAAAGAGGUCACUGGCGGAAUUUUAUUUCAAUUAAUUUAUUUAAAAUAUUAGACAUCUUUAAUUAAAACCUAAAGCCAAAAUUUGGAUUAAUUUUUUCAUAAUAUUUCUCUUAAUUUCAUCUUUCAAUCAAAUUAAAGAUAAUGGUAUAUAUAUGUAUAUAUAUAUGUAUAUUUAUCCCAAAACAACAUACAAUGAUGUUGGCAAAUACAAAAAUAGUUGAAUAGAUCAUAAACCAUAAAUAACCCCACAUAAGACUUCAAAUUUAAACCAAAAUAAUUUAAAUAAAGGUAAACAUCAUCUCAAGAUAUCGGACACUUUAUUAAUAUUUUAUCUUUGGUAAAAAUAUUAACUUGUAAGUGAUAUAUUGGUGUAAUAAUCAAACAUUGACAAUAAGAACAUGUCGAACCAUAAAUUUUUUUUUGGUCCAAUUUAUUGCUCAUAUGUAAAACCAAAUAAUUGUCACAUAUUUAUUACAUAGUUGCACAUGUAAUAUCAUUAACCUUCAUUUGGGCCGAUCAAUAUUAAUAUAACUUAAGUUACAUACACACAACCUUUUAUAUUUUUAAAACAAAAUAAUUUCAAUAAGAGAGAUCACUUUAGCAACUUAUUAUUUCAAUUAAGUUAUUUUAAUAUAUAUAUAUAAAUAUACCAAUAUUCAAAUUUAAAAUUUACCCAAUAGUCAAAGGUCAAAACUAUUUUUUUAUUGCACUAUAGUUUCCGAAAUAACUCCAAAUAAGAAUGUCUUAAUAGUGCAAUUAAAAAAUCGAAAACCUUAAUUUUUGACUGAUUUUUUUAUUCCAAAACCAUAUAUGUCAAAGCCAAACAAAAAAUAAUAUAGUGAUUCAAUGCCAACUAAUUAACAUGCAAAUGUAUUCAUAAUUUUAGCAUAGAUAAAAUACCAAAGUAAUUCACGCAUAUACUAUGUAAAUCCAAAAUUGUAUUCAUAUGAAUCAGAGAUCCAAAUGAAUGCUUGAAAGAAAAAAUUCAAUUCAAUAUAUCUCAAAAAUAAAAUCAAAAUAGUUGACAUACCCCAUAAUUCAUACCAUAGACCAUAUCAACAUAAUUUAACUAAAUAUUAGAAAUAAUAAUAUGUCAAACCUAAAUAUUAUUCAACCAAGCUUAAAACCAAAAAAUAUAUGUUUAUAUAUUGGCAACAUAGAUAAUUGAAAUUCAUCGACUAAUAUUGAUAAAUUUAAAAUAAGCAAUUAUGCACAAAAAAAAUCAAAAUAAGUAGCACAAUUGAUAAAAUUCAACAACAACUAUGAUAAAAAAACAUUAAACAUGAAAUAUUAAUUCACCAUUUAAGAGCCAAUCUUAAUCAACAUUGUAUUGAAUUCUCCCCAAAUACUCAAAAGAAAAAUUACAACAGAUUCUGAUGCAUUUUCCUCAAAAUAAGCGUGUGAAAACAUCAACCAUAUUCAUACAUAAACCAAUCAAACAUGCUUAUAUUAUAUAUGUAUAUAUAAUCGAAACACAUACAUAUAUAUCGAAACAUAUUUUAUGAACUAAGCAUGUCAUUCAUUGAAUCAAACAAAAAAUUGCUAAAGAGAAAAAAAAAAUACGAGACUGCAGAAAUUUCAAUUGUGCACUCUGUGACCUUUACCCAAAAAAAAUUAUUGAAAUUGUAUGAACAGCACAAAAUCUUAAAUUUUUAAUUUUAGUUGGAUUUUAUAAGGACUGAAAUUUAUAUAAAAUAAUUAUAUGCAGAAACUAAAAAUAAUCAUUUAUAUAUAUAAAAUUCAAUUAUAAAUAUAAUUCAUUAUGAAUAAAAACAAAAGAUGAUAAUUCUAUAUAUUUCAACCACAAUCUUGAACAAAAAUUUUAAUAUAGAAAAAAAAUCCCACAAAUCAUAACAUAAAUAAUUUCAUACAAAAAAAUCCUUUUAAUAAACUUUAAAAAGAAAUUUAAUAAGAUCCUUUUAAAGUCUUAAAAAUCCCUAACUAAUAAUCCAUAUUUUUCAAUUAUGAAUUAUAACCAUCUUAUAUAUACAUUAACUAUUAACACUAAAUCAAUUAAUUAAAAAAUAAAAAAUUAAAACCCUAAAAAUUAAAUCUCUAAAAUCUGAACAACAAAUUAAUUCAAAAAAUAAUAGAGAAUCAAUUCAUUUCAAAAAUAAAAAUUUAAUAAAUUCCAUGAUGAGGCUCAAAUGCCACUUGUUGAAACCGUAAAACAAAAUCUGAUAUAAACUUAAAACUGUAAGCCAAGAUCUAUCAUGUCAAAUCAUCAAGAAUAAAUCAAGAACAAAACUAGAUGCGAAAGCUUACCUUAAUUCAUCGAUUUCUUGAAAUCUACGGAUCUUGGGAUAUUGAUCUUUCAAAUUAGCACACAAGUAAUCUAGAGUAGUUGGCUCACUCUUUUCUAAAGAUGAGAUACUAGAAAAGUUACCUUGUUGUGUAAUUCGGAGACCAUAACCCUAAUAUAUAUAAUUAGCCCAUCAUUAUUUAGAAAUUGAUUAGAACUUAAUUACUAAAGUAUCUACACAUAUUUUACCCAUAUUUUAUUUAAUAAUUAAAGCCCAAUAAACCAUAACCAAAUUAGAUCACUUUUAAUUUGAGUAACCUAUUAUGAUAGUAAAUAAUAUGUAAUUACUCUUAUUAUAUAUGUGCUGUCCAUAUUUUCCAACAAUGUGAUCUACUUAUCUUGUAUGUUGAGACAUGUUAUCCAAGAAGAUAUGGACUAACUUUACAAUCUUUUGUAGCCUUAUAUUAAGGAUAAUUUAUUUGAUGUGAUUUUGGCAUAUCAAGAUGGAUUGAAGUUUGCCUUGUGAAGAUGGAUGUGUGCUUUAAAUAUGGAUGGCUUGAUCAACAAUGAUAGAGGUUUGACUGUUGAAGCAAGUUAUGUUGAAUGAGUUGAGUGGCACUCAGUAGUGCCCACUGCAAACUGCCACUAAAGCAAUGAAGUUACUUGUCAUAAUUGACUUGGCAAUUUAAUGAAGCAAAAUCUUUGGACUAAUGAAUAUACUGGUAUCUUGAAGAUACUAUGGUACAUCUAUGAAAAACAAUAUGUGGCUAUUGAAGAUUGGAUCGGAUUUGAGUGAAUCAAUUCAACCCAUGUUAUGUGGAGAUUUGUUCGAGGUUGUGCUAGUGAUUUUAAGAGACCGUAUCUUCAUCAUAUUAUGAUUUUAUUAUUUUGUAGCCUUUGCAUCAAAAGCUCAGUUGAAUGCAUUGUUUUUCAUAGGAUUCUGUGCCACAUGCUUGAUUUGUAUAUGGUAGUGGGCCAUGGGCCGUACCUUUCUCACUUUACUUUGAUGAUGAUGACUAGCCGAGCAACAAAAAGGCCUCCAAUCAUCACUGGACUCCAUUUCUGGAUUUCCUUAAUGCUGUAUUCCAUUUCUUUCUUUUC